UACGUAGGGGGCAAGCGGUUGUCCGGAAUCAUUUGGGCGUAAAGAGGCGUGUAGGCGGCCAGAUAAGUCCGCUGUGAAAUCUCGAAGGCUCCAACGUUCGAGCCUUGAUCGGUGGAAAUCUUGUCUGGCUAGAGUCCGGAAGAGGAGAAUGGAAUUCCUGGUGUAGCGGUGAAAUGCGCAGAUAUCAGGAGGAACACCGGUGGCGCAGGCGGUCUCUGGGCCGUAACUGACGCUGAGGAGCGAAAGCAUGGGGGAGCGAACAGG
rnacentral:rRNA from 1 species